rnacentral:rRNA from 1 species
CCCUUAGAUGUUCUGGGCCGCACGCGCGCUACACUGACGAAUGCAACGAGCUUAUAACCUUGGCCGAAAGGUCUGGGUAAUCUCCAAAUUUCGUCGUGAUGGGGAUAGAUUAUUGCAAUUAUUAAUCUUCGACGAGGAAUGCCUAGUAAGCGCAAGUCAUCAGCUUGCGUUGAUUACGUCCCUGCCCUUUGUACACACCGCCCGUCGCUCCUACCGAUUGAAUGGUCCGGUGAAGCGUUCGGACCGUGGCCUUUGGACGGUUCGCCGUCUGUUGGCUGCGGGAAGUUCGUUAAACCUUAUCAUUUAGAGGAAGGAGAAGUCGUANCA